rnacentral:rRNA from 1 species
AACCUACGGGUGGCUGCAGUGGGGAAUAUUGGACAAUGGGCGAAAGCCUGAUCCAGCAAUACCGCGUGUGUGAAGAAGGCCUGAGGGUUGUAAAGCACUUUCAAUGGGAAGGAAUACCUAUCGGUUAAUACCCGGUAGACUGACAUUACCCAUACAAGAAGCACCGGCUAACUCCGUGCCAGCAGCCGCGGUAAUACGGAGGGUGCAAGCGUUAAUCGGAAUUACUGGGCGUAAAGCGUGCGUAGGCGGUGAUUUAAGUCAGAUGUGAAAGCCCCGGGCUUAACCUGGGAACUGCAUUUGAUACUGGGUCACUAGAGUUGAGUAGAGGAGAGUGGAAUUUCAGGUGUAGCGGUGAAAUGCGUAGAGAUCUGAAGGAACACCAGUGGCGAAGGCGGCUCUCUGGACUCAAACUGACGCUGAGGUACGAAAGCGUGGGUAGCAAACAGGAUUAGAUACCCCAGUAGUCCC